rnacentral:lncRNA from 1 species
AUGAUUUCCAUUCGUGAUGUUACAAUAUAUAAAUGUAUAAAGCUUCAAGUGAGAAACUCAAACUAUUAUCUUUAUUCUGCCCUGCAUGUGAAAACUGUUAUGUUUUUGGAGAUUCCUUCUGUCCAUUUAUGGUGUUGUCUCUUUCACUUCCCAGCUGUUGUUUUCUCCCAUCGUGGCUUGUGGAGGAACCGAAUCUUGAAGUUUCUCAGAGGUCUUAUCUCUCCAACCCUUGCUUCAAUGUCUCGGAACAGUCCCCCACAAGCAAUGUGCCAAUCCUUCUGUGUUCAUAUAUUGCCAUCUAGUGUGAGCAGAAGAAGUUGCAAGCAGAUUCAUAGCCAGAGAAUGAUGGGAAGGCAAGGAAUGCCGUGUGGAGCAGUUCCACCACCAAAGAGAAGCAGAACUGGCUUCACAAGCUGCCUGGGUGGGAGACCACCUGGAAAUCAUCUGUAAGCUGCUUGAGAUACUUUGAGAAAGAAUAGGGGUAGAAAUGUGAAAUAAAUAAUGGGUCCAUUCCCCCCCCCCAAUCCUCCCAAGGCACCUUGUUUUCACAAAUCCCCCUUGAUUAUAUGUAUCUCUCUUUUUAGGUGCCAGGCCAGCCUUAAUAGAGUUUUCUGAUGCUGAGCUCUUCUAAGCACUUCUUUUCCUUGUAUUAGGGUCCCUUUUAAAUCUUUACUUUCAGAGGUGCUGAGCAGUCAGGCAGUGUAUGUCUUGGAGCAGAAUCUGACCACCACAGAAAGACUAAAAGAAAUGAGCACAUUCACAAUUGAAAUAUGUCUCAGAAUAGUUCAAGCUGGGCUUUUCUACCCCAUUCUACAGAUGCCUUUGGCAACUUCCACACUGCACAUUUAAAUCACUCUUAAAGGUAAAGGUAAAGGUACCCCUGCCCGUACGGGCCAGUCUUGCCAGACUCUAGGGUUGUGCACUCAUCUCACUCUAUAGGCCGGGAGCCAGCGCUGUCUGCAGGCACCUCCGGGUCACGUAGCCAGCGUGACAAGCUGCAUCUGGCGAGCCAGCGCAGCACACGGAACGCCGUUUACCUUCCUGCUGGUAAGCAGUCCCUAUUUAUCUACUUGCACCCAGAGGUGCUUUCAAACUGCUAGGUUGGCAGGCGCUGGGACCGAACGACGGGAGCGCACCCCGCCGCGGGGAUUCAAACUGCCGACCAUGCGAUCGGCAAGUCCUAGGCGCUGAGGUUUUACCCACAGCGCCACCCGUGUCCCCUAAAAAUCACUCUUAUGCCACCACAAAACUCCUGACUUUCAUCUUCUUUUAGAUGGCAGGAAGCACUUGUGUUUCUAUUGUUACCUUCGUCUCAACAAAACAAAAACCAGCCAUUCUGGCUUUUCACUGAAAUAGUCAACAGAGUUUACUGCUGGAGUGGCAGGACAACCAACUCACUAUAUUUUUAAUCCGUUGCCUCUGGAAGUGAUGCUUGGUUAUUGGCUUAUACAUAAGCUUCAUGUCAUAAAACUCCAGACAUUGCAGAAAAGUUUGCACCAUGGAUGCAGAACAUGUAGAGUUUUAGACAGUAGCAGCACAACCCUCUGCACUCAGAAGUAAGUCUUGCUGAGUUUGAUCCAACUGAUUCACAGGUAAGCAUAUAUAUAGGACUAUUGCUUUAAUUGGACAAGAUAUGCUCACCAGAGAAAUUGUGGCCUUUGUCUUGGUAGCAUUACUGGAGCUAUAGGU